rnacentral:rRNA from 1 species
GACGAACGCUGGCGGCGUGCUUAACACAUGCAAGUCGAACGGAAAGGCUCCAGCUUGCUGGAGUACUCGAGUGGCGAACGGGUGAGUAACACGUGGGUAAUCUGCCCUGCACUCUGGGAUAAGCCUGGGAAACUGGGUCUAAUACUGGAUAUGACCUUUCUCCUUAUGGGGUUUGGUGGAAAGUUUUUCGGUGUAGGGUGAGCCCGCGGCCUAUCAGCUUGUUGGUGGGGUGAUGGCCUACCAAGGCGACGACGGGUAGCCGGCCUGAGAGGGUGAUCGGCCACAUUGGGACUGAGGUACGGCCCAGACUCCUACGGGAGGCAGCAGUGGGGAAUAUUGCACAAUGGGCGGAAGCCUGAUGCAGCGACGCCGCGUGAGGGAUGACGGCCUUCGGGUUGUAAACCUCUUUCAGCAGGGACGAAGCGUAAGUGACGGUACCUGCAGAAGAAGCACCGGCUAACUAUGUG